GAUUAACGCUGGCGGCGUGCAUAACACAUUCAAGUCGAACGGUGACGGGAACUUCGGUUCCCUGAUCAGUGGCGGACGGGUGAGUAACGCGUGAGCAAUCUGCCUCUGUGUGCGGGAUAACAACCGGAAACAGUUGCUAAUACCGCAUGAUGUAUUUGAGUCGCAUGUCUUAAAUACCAAAGGCUUGCUGCACAGAGAUGAGCUCGCGUCUGAUUAGGUAGUUGGUGAGGUAACGGCUCACCAAGCCGACGAUCAGUAGCCGGACUGAGAGGUUGAACGGCCACAUUGGAACUGAGACACGGCCCAGACUCCUACGGGAGGCAGCAGUGGGGAAUAUUGGGCAAUGGGCGCAAGCCUGACCCAGCAACGCCGCGUGAAGGAAGAAGGCUUUCGGGUUGUAAACUUCUUUUAUAAGGGACGAAACAAAUGACGGUACCUUAUGAAUAAGCCACGGCUAACUACGUG
rnacentral:rRNA from 1 species